rnacentral:rRNA from 1 species
GAUGAACGCUGGCGGCGUGCCUAAUACAUGCAAGUCGAGCGAACGGACGAGAAGCUUGCUUCUCUGAUGUUAGCGGCGGACGGGUGAGUAACACGUGGAUAACCUACCUAUAAGACUGGGAUAACUUCGGGAAACCGGAGCUAAUACCGGAUAAUAUUUUGAACCGCAUGGUUCAAAAGUGAAAGACGGUCUUGCUGUCACUUAUAGAUGGAUCCGCGCUGCAUUAGCUAGUUGGUAAGGUAACGGCUUACCAAGGCAACGAUGCAUAGCCGACCUGAGAGGGGUAACGGGCCCCAUGGAAAGUGGACACCGGCCAAGCCCCCAAGGGGGGGCGGAGUGGGGAAUCCUCCGGAAAGGGGGAAAGCCCGAAGGAAGCACGGCGGGGGGGGGGAUGAGGGUUUCGGGACGGAAAACUUCUGUUAUGGGGAAAAAAAAUUGGGAAAGGAAACUGUCCAAAUCUGGAGGGCACUAAUACAGAAGCCCCGGCCAACCAAGG